CGGUAAUACGGAGGAUCCGAGCGUUAUCCGGAUUUAUUGGGUUUAAAGGGUGCGUAGGCUGACUGAUAAGUCAGCGGUGAAAAGCACAGGCUUAACCUGUGUCUUGCCGUUGAUACUGUCAGACUAGAAUAUAAAUGGAGUAGGCGGAAUGAAUCAUGUAGAGGUGACAUUCAUAGAUAUGAUUUAGAACACCGUUCGCGAAGGCGGCUUACUAAGAUAUAAUUGACGCUGAGGCACGAAAGCGUGGGUAUCGAACAGGAUUAGAUACCCUGGUAGUCCACGCUGUAAACUAUGAUAACUCGUUGUCGGCGAUAAACAGUCGGUGACCAAGCGAAAGCGAUAAGUUAUCCACCUGGGGAGUACGAUCGCAAGGUUGAAACUCAAAGGAAUUGACGGGGGCCCGCACAAGCGGAGGAGCAUGUGGUUUAAUUCGAUGAUACGCGAGGAACCUUACCUAGACUUGAACGUAACAGUAAUAAUGUAGAAAUAUAUUAGCUAGCAAUAGACUGUUACGAGGUGCUGCAUGGUUGUCGUCAGCUCGUGCCGUGAGGUGUCAGGUUAAGUCCUAUAACGAGCGCAACCCUUACACUUAGUUGCCAGCAUUUAAAGAUGGGGACUCUAAGUGGACUGCCUGCGUAAGCAGAGAGGAAGGUGGGGAUGACGUCAAAUCAGCACGGCCCUUACGUCUAGGGCGACACACGUGCUACAAUGGUAGGUACAGAGGGCAGCUACACAGCGAUGUGAUGCCAAUCUCAAAAGCCUAUCUCAGUUCGGAUCGGAGUCUGCAACCCGACUCUGUGAAGUUGGAUUCGCUAGUAAUCGCAGAUCAGCCAUGCUGCGGUGAAUACGUUCCCGGGCCUUGUACACACCGCCCGUCAAGCCAUGGAAGCUGGGGGUGCCUGAAGUUCGUGACCGCAAGGAGCGACCUAGGGCAAAACUAGUAACUGGGGCUAAGUCGUAACAAGGUAGCCGUACCGGAAGGUGUGGCUG
rnacentral:rRNA from 1 species